rfam:Triticum aestivum genome assembly, contig: Triticum_aestivum_CS42_TGACv1_scaffold_198685_3AL
UAAUUUACUCCUUCGUCCGGAAUUACUUGUCGUGGAAAAGAGAUGUAUCUAAAAGUAUUUUUAGAUCUAAAUACAUCCAUUUCUAUUCAUUCCCGCGACAAGUAAUUCAGGACGAAGUAAUAAAUAG